AAAAAGUAAUAGCUAGUAACCAUCAACACCUAAAGAUUUUUAAAACCCGAAGAAAAACCGCAACCGAAAACCAAAUCCCAAAAUAUAAGCUCUAAGCAACAAUAGCUUUUUUCGUAAGUUGAAAACUCUCAAAAAUCAUUAAGGUCAAAUUCUUUGGCCCACUCAGUAACGAUUUGAGUAUCCUGAACUUCAGAUGAGUUCUUUUCGUUUAUAACCUCAGGCUCGGCCCACCAUUCGAUACGACCAGCAUGCCAGUCAUUAAUGACAAUAUUGGCAGCAGCGUUAAGAUUUGGAAUUCCACCGCGACCUAGACGACCACGCUUACGAGCAAUAUUGACUAAAAAAUCAGUAGCAGUGUCUAUAUCGGAUGUAUUCAAUAGAGGAGGAAGCUCAUAUCUUUGAAACAUUCUUUCCAAUUGUCCUGGAACUCUGCUAAGGAAUUGCAAAAUGUAAGAAGCAACGGCAACGGGAUCAUCAACUUUGGUGGAUGAAACAGCAUUAAGCAUUACAAGACGAUACAAAUCGUCUUUAGAAUCACUAGAAGGAAAAACAAUACCAGGACUAUCGACCAAACGUAAUUUGUUAUCUAGCUUCACCUCUCGCAAAGAAGUAGUCAUUCCGGCAACGUUUCCGGCAGGACAAGGUGCAGAACGACCAUUCGCAGAACGGUUGACAAGAGCGUUAAUAACAGAUGAUUUACCAACGUUGGGGUAUCCAAUUACACCGACUGUAAGAGAGCUUUUAAGCUUCUUCUUGGCUGAGUAAGACUUGAGUGAUUUAAGAAGAUUGGAGAUAGUGGAACUAGCAGAAGCCGACUGGUGCUUUAAAUUUGAGUUUCCAGAUCCUGAAGCGGAACGCAUAGGAAUCGUAGGAAAGAAAUUGCGGAGAUAGGUAACCCACUUGUUGAGUACUUCUGAUGGUACUAAGUCAAUUUUGUUGAUAACGAAAAUAAGACGCUUUUCUUCAGCAGAAGAUGCUAAAACUUGACGUUCAACGUCUUUUGAACGAGUCCCUUCAGGAUCACGAGCGUCAAGAACGUAAAGAAUCACAUCUGACGCUUCAACAACUUUUUUGAACUCCUUAUCAUAUGCCUUUCUAGAGGUAUCUGCCUUCACUGAUGCCUCAUAAGACUCGGAGUCAACUAAUAAAGGGGCCUCUCCAAGGUUGUCUUCUUCCAUCACAAACUCUUCCUCAUCAUCUGGGUUAGACGCUUGUGCAGCCUCAGCUAUCUUUGAAAUCAUUAGGGAUCCAUUUUCAUCAACAGCGUCUUCCUCUUCCAUUGCAGCAUCAACUUGUCCUGAAGCACGACGAGCCAAUUUUUCUUCUUCUCUAAUGCGCUUCUGUUCUUCGAUCUCAGCAAGAAUUUUAUCCUUGUAGGGGAAUGAGUUAGGAAUAC